AGAGUUUGAUCCUGGCUCAGGACGAACCCUGGCGGCGUGCCUAACACAUGCAAGUCGAGCGAUGAAACCCUUCGGGGUGGAUUAGCGGCGGACGGGUGAGUAACACGUGGGUAACCUGCCUCAAAGAGGGGGAUAGCCUCCCGAAAGGGAGAUUAAUACCGCAUAACAUUAGUUUUUCGCAUGAAGGACUAAUUAAAGGAGUAAUCCGCUUUGAGAUGGACCCGCGGCGCAUUAGCUAGUUGGUGAGGUAAAGGCUCACCAAGGCGACGAUGCGUAGCCGACCUGAGAGGGUGACCGGCCACAUUGGAACUGAGAUACGGUCCAGACUCCUACGGGAGGCAGCAGUGGGGAAUAUUGCACAAUGGGCGAAAGCCUGAUGCAGCAACGCCGCGUGAGUGAUGAAGGCCUUCGGGUUGUAAAGCUCUGUCUUUGGGGACGAUAAUGACGGUACCCAAGGAGGAAGUCACGGCUAACUACGUGCCAGCAGCCGCGGUAAUACGUAGGUGGCAAGCGUUGUCCGGAUUUACUGGGCGUAAAGGAUGCGUAGGCGGAUAUUUAAGUGAGAUGUGAAAUUCCCGGGUCAACUUGGGUGCUGCAUUUCAAACUGGAUAUCUAGAGUGCGGGAGAGGAAAGUGGAAUUCCUAGUGUAGCGGUGAAAUGCGUAGAGAUUAGGAAGAACACCAGUGGCGAAGGCGAUCUCUGGACCAUAACUGACGCUGAGGCAUGAAAGCGUGGGUAGCAAAGAGGAUUAGAUACCCUGGUAGUCCACGCCGUAAACGAU
rnacentral:rRNA from 1 species